rnacentral:rRNA from 1 species
AGAGUUUGAUCAUGGCUCAGAACGAACGCUGGCGGCGUGGAUAAGACAUGCAAGUCGAGCGCUGAUUACAGGGUAGCAAUAUUCUGUAGUUGGAGCGGCGCAAGGGUGCGUAACACGUGGGUAAUCUGCCAUGAAGUUUGGGAUAACUUGCUGAAAGGCGAGCUAAUACCGGAUGUGACAAUUGGGAGGCAUCUUUUGAUUGUCAAAGUUGGGGACCGUAAGGCCUGACGCUUCAUGAUGAGCCCGCGGCCUAUCAGCUAGUUGGUAAGGUAACGGCUUACCAAGGCUAAGACGGGUAGCUGGUCUGAGAGGACGACCAGCCACACUGGAACUGAGACACGGUCCAGACACCUACGGGUGGCAGCAGUCGAGAAUUUUUCACAAUGGGCGCAAGCCUGAUGGAGCGACGCCGCGUGGGGGAUGAAUGGCUUCGGCCCGUAAACCCCUGUCAUUUGCGAUCAAACCUUGUUAUUUAAAAGAUGACGAGCUGAUAGUAGCGAAAGAGGAAGGGACGGCUAACUCUGUGCCAGCAGCCGCGGUAAUACAGAGGUCCCAAGCGUUGUUCGGAUUCACUGGGCGUAAAGGGUGCGUAGGUGGUGGGGUAAGUCGGAUGUGAAAUCUCCGAGCUCAACUCGGAAAUGGCAUUGGAAACUACCCUGCUAGAGGGUCGGAGGGGGGACUGGAAUACUUGGUGUAGCAGUGAAAUGCGUAGAUAUCAAGUGGAACACCAGUGGCGAAGGCGAGUCCCUGGACGACUCCUGACACUGAGGCACGAAAGCUAGGGGAGCAAACAGGAUUAGAUACCCUAGUAGUCC